UGGCGGCGUGCUACACAUGCAGUCGUACGAGAAAUCCCGAGCUUGCUUGGGAGAGUAGAGUGGCGCACGGGUGAGUAACGCGUGGGUAACCCACCUUCGAAUCGGGGAUAACUCCGCGAAAGCGGUGCUAAUACCCGAUAAGACCACAGCCGUUUCGGCGGCAGAGGUAAAAGCUGACCUCUCCAUGGAAGUUAGCGUUCGAGGACGGGCCCGCGUCCUAUCAGCUUGUUGGUGGGGUAAUGGCCUACCAAGGCAGCGACGGGUAGCUGGUCUGAGAGGAUGAUCAGCCACACUGGAACUGGAACACGGUCCAGACUCCUACGGGAGGCAGCAGUGAGGAAUUUUGCGCAAUGGGGGAAACCCUGACGCAGCAACGCCGCGUGGGUGAAGAAGGCUUUCGGGUCGUAAAGCCCUGUCAGGUGGGAAGAAACGCUUCAGUACUAAUAAUGCUGGAGCCUGACGGUACCACCAGAGGAAGCACCGGCCAACUCCGUGCCAGCAGCCGCGGUAAUACGGAGGGUGCAAGCGUUGUUCGGAAUUAUUGGGCGUAAAGAGCGUGUAGGCGGCUUGGUAAGUCAGAUGUGAAAGCCCUGGGCUCAACCCAGGAAGUGCAUUUGAAACUACCAGACUUGAGUACGGGAGAGGAGGGGGGAAUUCCCGGUGUAGAGGUGAAAUUCGUAGAUAUCGGGAGGAAUACCGGUGGCGAAGGCGCCCCUCUGGACCGAUACUGACGCUGAGACGCGAAAGCGUGGGGAGCAAACAGGAUUAGAUACCCUGGUAGUCCACGCCGUAAACGAUGAGCACUAGGUGUAGCGGGUAUUGACCCCUGCUGUGCC
rnacentral:rRNA from 1 species